CAUGGAUAAUAAAAUAAAUGGAUAGGACUCUAGCUGACGUAAGCAAAAACAACCUGGUUGCAAUCUGUGACGUCACGCGUAUAUUGCAAAGUUCUCGGCAUUUUUGUUGUUUCGCUAUAUUUUCCGCUUUAAAAGAGUAAUAUUGAAGCAUAAACUGGUCUAAUUGUUUUAAAAACAUGCCUAAGCCACGACAAAGUAUUCAAGGUAAAUGUUUUUCGUCUUUGUUUUGUAUUUUUUUUACAUUUGUAGCUACGAAAUUGGCGUCCCCAAUUUUAAGGAAAUUUGCGAUGCAUUUUUCACUGUUUAGUGCCUGAAAUAUUUGCUAAAAUUGACUGGGAAUACUUAGAGAUUUCAUCGUAGAAUGGCGUAGUCAUAUU